GGGGAGAUGCCAGAGUGGUCGAUUGGGGCCGCCUGCUAAGCGGUUGAGGGGCUGAAUAGCUCCUCCUAGGGUUCGAAUCCCUAUCUCCCCGCCU
rnacentral:tRNA from 1 species